rnacentral:lncRNA from 1 species
CAUGACACCCAAUAACAUAAAAGGAAAAAUCUCCAACGAACUGAAGUAGAAAUAAAACACAAAAAUAAAGUUAGGGUGUGCAGGGAUCAAACCCAAGUCUGGGUAGUUAGGAGCCUUUACCAUCUCAACCACUGACCUUAAUCUAUCAAAAAAUGGAAAUGAAUGAUAUAAGAAAUAAACAAAACGCAUAAAUUGGAAAAAAAUAAAAGGAAACAAACUCAGACCAAACAAUGUCUCUCAUGAACAACAACAAACUUUUCAACGUCAUCAACCCCAAUCUUCAACGAAAUGCAAUAACACUUAAACGUCUUCCUCCACUCUCAUGUUCAUAACAUGUUAAAACAUAUUAAAUAAAUAAAUUUAAAAAAUAAAACAGAAAAGAAGAAAAACAAAUAUUGUCAUUUCUCCUUCAACUUACUCUCUCUCAAGUUUUCUUCUUCCUCAGAUCCGAGGGAUGUUGCGGCGACGUCAGUAGUGUGUUUUUCAGAUGUUAAGGAAAGACGAAGGUGGAUAUGUGGGUGGAGGAUGUUGUCUUUCUGGUGGUGAUGAG